CCACUGGGCCAAACUGCUUCUUGUGAUUAAAGUGUAAAAGAAUCCUUCUCCCUGCUCAAAAGACCAGACAACAGUGGGAAAUGACAUCUGAAGAAGAAGACAGGACACUCAACAAAGCCAAGUUUGAAGUUGAUCCACAGAUCUACCACUCAGGCCGCGGUCCAACAAACACGCAAUGAGGAAACUGAGGCACAGAGAAGCAAUUGAAGAUUCAUCCCAUUCCUGCCAUCCAAAUGAGAUUUAUCACCUCGUGGCAGGGAUCAUGUCUACCAACUCUUAUAUUGUACUCUCCCUAAUGCUUAAUACAGUGUUCUGCACAUAGUAAGAGUUAAAUAAAAAUGAUUGAUUGAUUCUCUUUGCCUUCAAGAAUCUUUUCUCCAUAUCUUUCAACUAAGAGCAUGCCAUUUCUA